rnacentral:rRNA from 1 species
UCUUCCACAAUGGACGAAAGUCUGAUGGAGCAACGCCGCGUGCAGGAUGAAGGCUUUCGGGUCGUAAACUGCUUUUGUUAGCGAAGAAUUUGACGGUAACUAACGAAUAAGGAUCGGCUAACUCCGUGCCAGCAGCCGCGGUCAUACGGAGGAUCCAAGCGUUAUCCGGAGUGACUGGGCGUAAAGAGUUGCGUAGGUGGUUAUAUAAGUGAAUAGUGAAACCUGGUGGCCCAACCAUACAGACUAUUAUUCAAACUGUAUACUCGAGAAUGGUAGAGGUAGCUGGAAUUUCAGUGAGGAGUAAAUCCGAGUUAGAGAACACCAAUGGCGUGGCAGGCUCUGGCAUUCUGACAACGACAGCAGAUCUG